rnacentral:rRNA from 1 species
GAUGAACGCUAGCUACAGGCUUAACACAUGCAAGUCGAGGGGCAGCAUGGAAGAAGCUUGCUUCUUCUGAUGGCGACCGGCGCACGGGUGCGUAACGCGUAUCAAACCUGCCUCAUACUCGGGGAUAGCCUUGCGAAAGUAAGAUUAAUACCCGAUGUUGUUAUGUUUCCGCAUGGUGAUAUAACCAAAGAUUUAUCGGUAUGAGAUGGUGAUGCGUCCGAUUAGGUAGUAGGCGGGGUAACGGCCCACCUAGCCAUCGAUCGGUAGGGGUUCUGAGAGGAAGGUCCCCCACACUGGAACUGAGACACGGUCCAGACUCCUACGGGAGGCAGCAGUGAGGAAUAUUGGUCAAUGGACGCAAGUCUGAACCAGCCAAGUAGCGUGCAGGAUGACGGCCCUCCGGGUUGUAAACUGCUUUUAGUUGGGAAUAAAAAGAGGGACGUGUCCCUUCUUGUAUGUACCUUCAGAAAAAGGACCGGCUAAUUCCGUGCCAGCAGCCGCGGUAAUACGGAAGGUCCAGGCGUUAUCCGGAUUUAUUGGGUUUAAAGGGAGCGUAGGCGGAUUAUUAAGUCAGUGGUGAAAGACGGUGGCUCAACCAUCGUUAGCCAUUGAAACUGGUAGUCUUGAGUGCAGACAGGGAUGCUGGAACUCGUGGUGUAGCGGUGAAAUGCUUAGAUAUCACGAUGAACUCCGAUCGCGAAGGCAGGUGUCCGGGCUGCAACUGACGCUGAGGCUCGAAAGUGUGGGUAUCAAACAGG